rnacentral:piRNA from 1 species
UAGAAAGCAGCAACAAGACCUGUGUC